AAAGUCGUAACAAGGUUUCCGUAGGUGAACCUGCGGAAGGAUCAUUCUCGAUAUAAUAGCGUAAGCUAUCAAUAUUCACAUUGUGCACUGUUACUGCGCCAUUUGGUGGCUGCGAAGCCACCGGGUGAUCUGCGCUUACUUUUUAUCCUAUAUACUUUAUAAAUAACCACAAAUUUAUACAAUAUUUUUUUAAAUUUUCGACAACUUUUAGCAAUGGAUCUCUAGGCUCUC
rnacentral:misc_RNA from 1 species